UACAGAGGUCUCAAGCGUUGUUCGGAUUCAUUGGGCGUAAAGGGUGUGUAGGUGGCGCCGUAAGUCGGGUGUGAAAUCUCGGGGCUUAACUCCGAAACUGCAUUCGAUACUGCGGUGCUUGAGGACUGGAGAGGAGACUGGAAUUCAUGGUGUAGCAGUGAAAUGCGUAGAGAUCAUGAGGAAGACCGUGGCGAAGGCGGGUCUCUGGACAGUUCCUGACACUGAGACACGAAGGCCAGGGGAGCAAACGGG
rnacentral:rRNA from 1 species